rnacentral:rRNA from 1 species
AUUGAACGCUGGCGGAAUGCUUUACACAUGCAAGUCGAACGGCAGCACGGACUUCGGUCUGGUGGCGAGUGGCGAACGGGGGAGUAACAUAUCGGAACGUAUCCAAUAAUGGGGGAUAACGAGUCGAAAGAUUCGCCAAUACCGAAUACGCCCUACGGGGGAAAGCUGGGGACCUUCGCGCCUGCGCUAAUGGAGCGGACGAUAUCUGAUUAGCUAGUUGGUGAGGUAAAGGCUCACCAAGGCGACGAUGAGUAGCUGGUCUGAGAGGACGACCAGCCACACUGGAACUGAGACACGGUCCAGACUCCUACGGGAGGCAGCAGUGGGGAAUUUUGGACAAUGGGCGCAAGCCUGAUCCAGCCAUUCCGCGUGAGUGAAGAAGGCCUUCGGGUUGUAAAGCUCUUUCGCAAGGGAAGAAAACUUAGCCACUAACAUUGGUUGAGGUUGACGGUACCUUGAUAAGAAGCACCGGCUAACUACGUGCCAGCCGCCGCCGUAA